rnacentral:rRNA from 1 species
AGUGAACGCUGGCGGUAGGCCUAACACAUGCAAGUCGAACGGCAGCACAGGAGAGCUUGCUCUCUGGGUGGCGAGUGGCGGACGGGUGAGGAAUACAUCGGAAUCUACUCUGUCGUGGGGGAUAACGUAGGGAAACUUACGCUAAUACCGCAUACGACCUACGGGUGAAAGCAGGGGACCUUCGGGCCUUGCGCGAUUGAAUGAGCCGAGGUCGGAUUAGCUAGUUGGCAGGGUAAAGGCCCACCAAGGCGACGAUCCGUAGCUGGUCUGAGAGGAUGAUCAGCCACACUGGAACUGAGACACGGUCCAGACUCCUACGGGAGGCAGCAGUGGGGAAUAUUGGACAAUGGGCGCAAGCCUGAUCCAGCCAUACCGCGUGGGUGAAGAAGGCCUUCGGGUUGUAAAGCCCUUUUGUUGGGAAAGAAAUCCAGCUGGCUAAUACCCGGUUGGGAUGACGGUACCCAAAGAAUAAGCACCGGCUAACUUCGUGCCAGCAGCCGCCGCCG